AACAAGGAGAUGAAAUCAGUCAUUACAAUGUUUGUCAUGCAAUAUCUCUUAGCAAAUUCAACAGACAGUGAUGAAAUUACAUUAUGUUAUAGAACAUAACUUUUUCCAUUAAUAAUACUAAUAUGACUACUGUAGCAUUCAAAAGCCAGGUCAGCCACGAGUGAAAGGUCAAUAGUUAAUAGUAUUCAUUUUGCAAGACAUGUGGCUUUUUACUUAAUCGUAUUAUUCAUUAUUCUAUUUAAUAUUCAUUUUUAAA